rnacentral:rRNA from 1 species
CCCUUAGAUGUCCUGGGCUGCACGCGCGCUACACUGAUGUGUCCGGUAAGCACCUAACCUAUUCCGAGAGGAGCGGGUAACCUUAGCAAAGCACAUCGUGAUGGGGAUAGAUUAUUGCAAUUAUUAGUCUUGAACGAGGAAUUCCUAGUAAGCACAAGUCAUCAGCUUGUGUUGAUUACGUCCCUGCCCUUUGUACACACCGCCCGUCGCUCCUACCGAUUGAAUGUCCCGGUGAGCUCUUCGGACUGCGCGGUCUGCAGUUUCUGCGUUCCGUGCGGAAAGUUGUGCAAACCUUAACAUUUAGAGGAAGGAGAAGUCGUAACA